rnacentral:lncRNA from 12 species
CUGCUUCCUGUGUACGUAGGGAAACUGAACCCUAGUAAGGAGACUGGGCUAAUGUGAGCUCAACAUUAAAGUCAGGACUAAAAAAGCUCUCCGGGCCCUUCAUUCAUACUUCUUCUAUGUAGUCAGUCUUCAUAAACCUGUAAUAACAUCUCUUAUGACACUCCUUAUAUUCCAUUUUACUUUACAACUUCUUGUAAUUGUCUGGAUUUGUAGGUCCAGGAGCAGAGACCAUGUCCUAAUCAUCUUCAUAUAUUCUGCAGCACAUGGCAAAGGGCUCACACAUGUUCUGGCCCUGUUGAUCACCCCUUCUUCAAGUCAUGAUUUAUUCAGUGGAUACUUUUUAUAUGGCUGAUUCGUACACCAAUGAACCAAGUAAAGGCAUUUCCGGGGCCAGAACAUCUGUAUUCACAUCCAGCCCUGACUUGUCUUCCAUAUGUGGUGCAGGUAAGUUAUGCAGCCUCUAGGGGCUCAGUUUCUUCACCUAUGAAAUGGGAUUAAUAUUACCUACGUCAUAAGGUUUUGUGAAGAUGAGCUAAGGUAAUAUGGAACAUGUGUCUGGGGUAAUGCCCUGGCAUGUGUAGGUGCUCAACAGACACUGGCUACUGUUAAUAUUAUGAUUAGAUGCUGUGCUAAGCACAAGGAAUA